ACAGGGAAGCACAGGAGUCAGGGAAACACAGCGGCAACAGCGAGAUCAUCAUUCCAUGUUUAUGAUCCAUCAACACGAGCCAUCAAAUUGUAUACAAACAAACGCAACGGAGAUCAAAAGCCAUGCUCUUUACACAGAAACGCAGAAACACAUACGGAAUCUGUGCUGCUGCCGAGCGCUCUACCUCUUUCUUUUUUCUUGUGCGGGAUAUGGUAUUGUGAUGUUAAUGAGAGGUUUAAAUCGCAAGAAAUUAGAGUAGAAAUUUCACCAUUUAUACUGAUAGUGG
rnacentral:lncRNA from 1 species